AACAAACGCUGGCGGCGUGCAUAACACAUGCAAGUCUAACGGGAAUGUCGGCUUCGGCUGACUAGUACCGUGGCGAACGGGUGAGUAACACGUGGGUAAUCUAACCUCGAGUUUGGGAUAACCUUGCGAAAGCGAGGCUAAUACCGAAUAAGACCACGCCCUGUACGCAGGGUGCGGUAAAAGGUGGCCUCUUCCUGAAAGCUAUCACUUGAGGAUGAGCCCGCGGCCUAUUAGCUAGUUGGUGAGGUAACGGCCCACCAAGGCGACGAUGGGUAGCCGGCCUGAGAGGGUGUACGGCCACACUGGAACUGAGAUACGGGCCAGACUCCUACGGGAGGCAGCAGUGGGGAAUUUUGCGCAAUGGGGGAAACCCUGACGCAGCAACGCCGCGUGAGUGAUGAAGGCCUUCGGGUCGUAAAGCUCUUUUAGUGGGGAAGAAUCCCACCUGGAAGAAUACUCCAGGUGUCUGACGGUACCCACAGAAAAAGUUCCGGCUAACUACGUGCCAGCAGCCGCAGUAAAAC
rnacentral:rRNA from 1 species